CAGUCGCCGCGGUAAUACGGAGGGUGCAAGCGUUAAUCGGAAUUACUGGGCGUAAAGCGCACGCAGGCGGUUUCUUAAGUCUGAUGUGAAAGCCCCCGGCUCAACCGGGGAGGGUCAUUGGAAACUGGGAAACUUGAGUGCAGAAGAGGAGAGUGGAAUUCCACGUGUAGCGGUGAAAUGCGUAGAGAUGUGGAGGAACACCAGUGGCGAAGGCGACUCUCUGGUCUGUAACUGACGCUGAGGAGCGAAAGCGUGGGGAGCGAACAGGAUUAGAUACCCCAGUAGUCCCUGUCUCUUAUAC
rnacentral:rRNA from 1 species